UCCUGUCUGAAUAUGGGGGGACCAUCCUCCAAGGCUAAAUACUCCUGACUGACCGAUAGUGAACCAGUACCGUGAGGGAAAGGCGAAAAGAACCCCGGCGAGGGGAGUGAAAAAGAACCUGAAACCGUGUACGUACAAGCAGUGGGAGCACCCUUUGGGGUGUGACUGCGUACCUUUUGUAUAAUGGGUCAGCGACUUAUAUUCUGUAGCAAGGUUAACCGAAUAGGGGAGCCGGAGGGAAACCGAGUCUUAAUUGGGCGUUAAGUUGCAGGGUAUAGACCCGAAACCCGGUGAUCUAGCCAUGGGCAGGUUGAAGGUUGGGUAACACUAACUGGAGGACCGAACCGACUAAUGUUGAAAAAUUAGCGGAUGACCUGUGGCUGGGGGUGAAAGGCCAAUCAAACCGGGAGAUAGCUGGUUCUCCCCGAAAGCUAUUUAGGUAGCGCCUCGUGAAUUCAUCUCCGGGGGUAGAGCACUGUUUCGGCUAGGGGGCCAUCCCGGCUUACCAACCCGAUGCAAACUGCGAAUACCGGAGAAUGUUAUCACGGGAGACACACGGCGGGUGCUAACGUCCGUCGUGAAGAGGGAAACAACCCAGACCGCCAGCUAAGGUCCCAAAGUCAUGGUUAAGUGGGAAACGAUGUGGGAAGGCCCAGACAGCCAGGAUGUUGGCUUAGAAGCAGCCAUCAUUUAAAGAAAGCGUAAUAGCUCACUGGUCGAGUCGGCCUGCGCGGAAGAUGUAACGGGGCUAAACCAUGCACCGAAGCUGCGGCAGCGACACUCAGGUGUUGUUGGGUAGGGGAGCGUUCUGUAAGCCUGUGAAGGUGGCCUGUGAGGGUUGCUGGAGGUAUCAGAAGUGCGAAUGCUGACAUAAGUAACGAUAAAGCGGGUGAAAAGCCCGCUCGCCGGAAGACCAAGGGUUCCUGUCCAACGUUAAUCGGGGCAGGGUGAGUCGACCCCUAAGGCGAGGCCGAAAGGCGUAGUCGAUGGGAAACGGGUUAAUAUUCCCGUACUUGGUGUUACUGCGAAGGGGGGACGGAGAAGGCUAUGUUGGCCGGGCGACGGUUGUCCCGGUUUAAGCGUGUAGGUGUGUGUUCCAGGUAAAUCCGGUUCACUUUAACACUGAGGCGUGAUGACGAGGCACUACGGUGCUGAAGCAACAAAUGCCCUGCUUCCAGGAAAAGCCUCUAAGCAUCAGGUAACAUCAAAUCGUACCCCAAACCGACACAGGUGGUCAGGUAGAGAAUACCAAGGCGCUUGAGAGAACUCGGGUGAAGGAACUAGGCAAAAUGGUGCCGUAACUUCGGGAGAAGGCACGCUGACACGUAGGUGAAGUGAUUUACUCAUGGAGCUGAAGUCAGUCGAAGAUACCAGCUGGCUGCAACUGUUUAUUAAAAACACAGCACUGUGCAAACACGAAAGUGGACGUAUACGGUGUGACGCCUGCCCGGUGCCGGAAGGUUAAUUGAUGGGGUCAGCGCAAGCGAAGCUCCUGAUCGAAGCCCCGGUAAACGGCGGCCGUAACUAUAACGGUCCUAAGGUAGCGAAAUUCCUUGUCGGGUAAGUUCCGACCUGCACGAAUGGCGUAAUGAUGGCCAGGCUGUCUCCACCCGAGACUCAGUGAAAUUGAACUCGCUGUGAAGAUGCAGUGUACCCGCGGCAAGACGGAAAGACCCCGUGAACCUUUACUAUAGCUUGACACUGAACAUUGAGCCUUGAUGUGUAGGAUAGGUGGGAGGCUUUGAAGCGUGGACGCCAGUCUGCGUGGAGCCGACCUUGAAAUACCACCCUUUAAUGUUUGAUGUUCUAACGUGGACCCGUGAUCCGGGUUGCGGACAGUGUCUGGUGGGUAGUUUGACUGGGGCGGUCUCCUCCUAAAGAGUAACGGAGGAGCACGAAGGUUGGCUAAUCCUGGUCGGACAUCAGGAGGUUAGUGCAAUGGCAUAAGCCAGCUUGACUGCGAGCGUGACGGCGCGAGCAGGUGCGAAAGCAGGUCAUAGUGAUCCGGUGGUUCUGAAUGGAAGGGCCAUCGCUCAACGGAUAAAAGGUACUCCGGGGAUAACAGGCUGAUACCGCCCAAGAGUUCAUAUCGACGGCGGUGUUUGGCACCUCGAUGUCGGCUCAUCACAUCCUGGGGCUGAAGUAGGUCCCAAGGGUAUGGCUGUUCGCCAUUUAAAGUGGUACGCGAGCUGGGUUUAGAACGUCGUGAGACAGUUCGGUCCCUAUCUGCCGUGGGCGCUGGAGAACUGAGGGGGGCUGCUCCUAGUACGAGAGGACCGGAGUGGACGCAUCACUGGUGUUCGGGUUGUCAUGCCAAUGGCACUGCCCGGUAGCUAAAUGCGGAAGAGAUAAGUGCUGAAAGCAUCUAAGCACGAAACUUGCCCCGAG
rnacentral:rRNA from 1 species